rnacentral:rRNA from 1 species
UACAGAGGUCCCAAGCGUUGUUCGGAUUCAUUGGGCGUAAAGGGUGCGUAGGCGGCUCCAUAAGUCAGGUGUGAAAUCUCGGGGCUCAACCCCGAAACUGCAUUUGAUACUGUGGUGCUCGAGUACUGGAGAGGAGAUUGGAAUUUACGGUGUAGCAGUGAAAUGCGUAGAUAUCGUAAGGAAGACCAGUGGCGAAGGCGAAUCUCUGGACAGUUACUGACGCUGAGGCACGAAGGCCAGGGGAGCAAACGGG